rnacentral:rRNA from 1 species
GAUGAACGCUGGCGGCGUGCCUAAUACAUGCAAGUCGAGCGAACAGACGAGGGGCUUGCUCCUCUGACGUUAGCGGCGGACGGGUGAGUAACACGUGGAUAACCUACCUAUAAGACUGGGAUAACUUCGGGAAACCGGAGCUAAUACCGGAUAAUAUAUUGAACCGCAUGGUUCAAUAGUGAAAGACGGUUUUGCUGUCACUUAUAGAUGGAUCCGCGCCGCAUUAGCUAGUUGGUAAGGUAACGGCCUACCAAGGCAACGAUGCGUAGCCGACCUGAGAGGGUGAUCGGCCGCACUGGAACUGAGACACGGUCCAGACUCCUACGGGAGGCAGCAGUAGGGAAUCUUCCGCAAUGGGCGAAAGCCUGACGGAGCAACGCCGCGUGAGUGAUGAAGGUCUUCGGAUCGUAAAACUCUGUUAUUAGGGAAGAACAAAUGUGUAAGUAACUAUGCACGUCUUGACGGUACCUAAUCAGAAAGCCACGGCUAACUACGUG